rnacentral:rRNA from 1 species
GACGGGGCCCGCACAAGCGGUGGAGCAUGUGGUUAAUUCGACGCAACGCGAAGACCUUACCUGGGCUUGACAUCCCGAUCGCACCUUAUGGAAACAUAGGGGUCAGUUCGGCUGGAUCGGUGACAGGUGCUGCAUGGCUGUCGUCAGCUCGUGUCGUGAGAUGUUGGGUUAAGUCCCGCAACGAGCGCAACCCUUGUCCUUAGUUGCCAGCAUUCAGUUGGGCACUCUAAGGAGACUGCCGGUGUCAAACCGGAGGAAGGUGGGGAUGACGUCAAGUCCUCAUGGCCCUUAUGUCCAGGGCUACACACGUGCUACAAUGGCCGGUACAAAGGGGCGCAAGACCGCGAGGUGGAGCAAAUCCCAAAAAACCGGUCUCAGUUCGGAUUGGAGUCUGCAACUCGACUCCAUGAAGUUGGAAUCGCUAGUAAUCGCGUAUCAGCAUGACGCGGUGAAUACGUUCCCGGGCCUU